rnacentral:rRNA from 2 species
GGUUAAGCGACUAAGCGUACACGGUGGAUGCCCUGGCAGUCAGAGGCGAUGAAGGGCGUGCUAAUCUGCGAUAAGCGCCGGUAAGGUGAUAUGAACCGUUAUAACCGGCGAUACCCGAAUGGGGAAACCCAGUGUGAUUCGUCACACUAUCAUUAACUGAAUCCAUAGGUUAAUGAGGCGAACCGGGGGAACUGAAACAUCUAAGUACCCCGAGGAAAAGAAAUCAACCGAGAUUCCCCCAGUAGCGGCGAGCGAACGGGGAGGAGCCCAGAGCCUGAAUCAGCAUGUGUGUUAGUGGAAGCGUCUGGAAAGGCGCGCGAUACAGGGUGACAGCCCCGUACACAAAAGCGCAUGUGCUGUGAGCUCGAUGAGUAGGGCGGGACACGUGGUAUCCUGUCUGAAUAUGGGGGGACCAUCCUCCAAGGCUAAAUACUCCUGACUGACCGAUAGUGAACCAGUACCGUGAGGGAAAGGCGAAAAGAACCCCGGCGAGGGGAGUGAAAAAGAACCUGAAACCGUGUACGUACAAGCAGUGGGAGCCCCACCACCAAAGCAUUCUCUGGUGUUGAAGGCCCUGCAAAGCAGCAUCGCGGUGGCGGAGCGUCGUUUGCGACGCCCAACACACAAAACAAGCGGUGAGUGCUUUGGGGUGGGGUGACUGCGUACCUUUUGUAUAAUGGGUCAGCGACUUAUAUUCUGUAGCAAGGUUAACCGAAUAGGGGAGCCGGAGGGAAACCGAGUCUUAAUUGGGCGUUAAGUUGCAGGGUAUAGACCCGAAACCCGGUGAUCUAGCCAUGGGCAGGUUGAAGGUUGGGUAACACUAACUGGAGGACCGAACCGACUAAUGUUGAAAAAUUAGCGGAUGACCUGUGGCUGGGGGUGAAAGGCCAAUCAAACCGGGAGAUAGCUGGUUCUCCCCGAAAGCUAUUUAGGUAGCGCCUCGUGAAUUCAUCUCCGGGGGUAGAGCACUGUUUCGGCUAGGGGGCCAUCCCGGCUUACCAACCCGAUGCAAACUGCGAAUACCGGAGAAUGUUAUCACGGGAGACACACGGCGGGUGCUAACGUCCGUCGUGAAGAGGGAAACAACCCAGACCGCCAGCUAAGGUCCCAAAGUCAUGGUUAAGUGGGAAACGAUGUGGGAAGGCCCAGACAGCCAGGAUGUUGGCUUAGAAGCAGCCAUCAUUUAAAGAAAGCGUAAUAGCUCACUGGUCGAGUCGGCCUGCGCGGAAGAUGUAACGGGGCUAAACCAUGCACCGAAGCUGCGGCAGCGACACUCAGGUGUUGUUGGGUAGGGGAGCGUUCUGUAAGCCUGCGAAGGUGGCCUGUGAGGGUUGCUGGAGGUAUCAGAAGUGCGAAUGCUGACAUAAGUAACGAUAAAGCGGGUGAAAAGCCCGCUCGCCGGAAGACCAAGGGUUCCUGUCCAACGUUAAUCGGGGCAGGGUGAGUCGACCCCUAAGGCGAGGCCGAAAGGCGUAGUCGAUGGGAAACGGGUUAAUAUUCCCGUACUUGGUGUUACUGCGAAGGGGGGACGGAGAAGGCUAUGUUGGCCGGGCGACGGUUGUCCCGGUUUAAGCGUGUAGGUGUGUGUUCCAGGUAAAUCCGGUUCACUUUAACACUGAGGCGUGAUGACGAGGCACUACGGUGCUGAAGCAACAAAUGCCCUGCUUCCAGGAAAAGCCUCUAAGCAUCAGGUAACAUCAAAUCGUACCCCAAACCGACACAGGUGGUCAGGUAGAGAAUACCAAGGCGCUUGAGAGAACUCGGGUGAAGGAACUAGGCAAAAUGGUGCCGUAACUUCGGGAGAAGGCACGCUGACACGUAGGUGAAGUGAUUUACUCAUGGAGCUGAAGUCAGUCGAAGAUACCAGCUGGCUGCAACUGUUUAUUAAAAACACAGCACUGUGCAAACACGAAAGUGGACGUAUACGGUGUGACGCCUGCCCGGUGCCGGAAGGUUAAUUGAUGGGGUCAGCGCAAGCGAAGCUCCUGAUCGAAGCCCCGGUAAACGGCGGCCGUAACUAUAACGGUCCUAAGGUAGCGAAAUUCCUUGUCGGGUAAGUUCCGACCUGCACGAAUGGCGUAAUGAUGGCCAGGCUGUCUCCACCCGAGACUCAGUGAAAUUGAACUCGCUGUGAAGAUGCAGUGUACCCGCGGCAAGACGGAAAGACCCCGUGAACCUUUACUAUAGCUUGACACUGAACAUUGAGCCUUGAUGUGUAGGAUAGGUGGGAGGCUUUGAAGUGUGGACGCCAGUCUGCAUGGAGCCGACCUUGAAAUACCACCCUUUAAUGUUUGAUGUUCUAACGUGGACCCGUAAUCCGGGUUGCGGACAGUGUCUGGUGGGUAGUUUGACUGGGGCGGUCUCCUCCUAAAGAGUAACGGAGGAGCACGAAGGUUGGCUAAUCCUGGUCGGACAUCAGGAGGUUAGUGCAAUGGCAUAAGCCAGCUUGACUGCGAGCGUGACGGCGCGAGCAGGUGCGAAAGCAGGUCAUAGUGAUCCGGUGGUUCUGAAUGGAAGGGCCAUCGCUCAACGGAUAAAAGGUACUCCGGGGAUAACAGGCUGAUACCGCCCAAGAGUUCAUAUCGACGGCGGUGUUUGGCACCUCGAUGUCGGCUCAUCACAUCCUGGGGCUGAAGUAGGUCCCAAGGGUAUGGCUGUUCGCCAUUUAAAGUGGUACGCGAGCUGGGUUUAGAACGUCGUGAGACAGUUCGGUCCCUAUCUGCCGUGGGCGCUGGAGAACUGAGGGGGGCUGCUCCUAGUACGAGAGGACCGGAGUGGACGCAUCACUGGUGUUCGGGUUGUCAUGCCAAUGGCACUGCCCGGUAGCUAAAUGCGGAAGAGAUAAGUGCUGAAAGCAUCUAAGCACGAAACUUGCCCCGAGAUGAGUUCUCCCUGAGACUUUAAGUCUCCUGAAGGAACGUUGAAGACGACGACGUUGAUAGGCCGGGUGUGUAAGCGCAGCGAUGCGUUGAGCUAACCGGUACUAAUGAACCGUGAGGCUUAACCUU